GGAAGCCACAUCCCACCUGCAGGCCUCCCUUCUGUCCUGUGCUGAGUCCAGACACCUGUGAGUUCCAGAGCCCUAAGAGCACCAGACAAGAAGCAAGAGGCACAGGUUUCACACCUGCCUGGGCCCUCCCUUUCCUCACCUGCAAAAUGAAGGGUGAAGUUUUGGGAUCCUGCCUGAGACCUGUGAAGAGCCCUGGAUCUGCUCACUUUUCUGGGCUGGUCCCCACCCCCAGCAGGAACUCUGGCGCGGAAUCCAGGAAAGAAGUAGACCUCUUCGUGAAGUCUUACUCCGGGGCUGGGAGAACUGAGGCGCUGACAAUAGGGGAUGU